rnacentral:snRNA from 1 species
AGCUUUGCGCAGUGGCAGUAUCGUAACCAAUGAGGUGUAUCCGAGGAGCGAUUAUUGCUAAUUGGAAGGCUGGUUCAGCAUAAGAAAAUCAACAUAAUAUACC